AUCAAGUCAAUGAUUUUAAAAGUUUUUUUUAGGUUUUUUUUAAUCCUACCCUGUGUGAAAAGGUCAAUACCCGAAAUUCAAGUUGUUCUUUUUCUUUUCGUCUUUUAAAACAAGAAUUGAGAUUUGAAUUUGGAAAUUGUGGAGUUUUUAGACGGGAAAUGUGUAGGAACCCUUAUAAUGUGUUUCGUCAUCUGAUCUCUAUUUUUUUUUUUUUUUUUUUUACAUGGUUUGCAGCUUUCAGGGGUCGAGCAAUACCUGGGAAAUAAUCAGCAGGAAAUUUCACCUUUGCAUCCAUGAUCUGUGAAUGUUGAAUGUUAUUUUUUUCCUUUGCUUUUUUUUUUUUUUUUUUUUUUGAGCACCACAUUUUUAUGGUUUGCUAUUGCGUGAAAUAUGUUAAGUUUUUCUUUUAGGAAACUACUUUUUCUUUUUAUUACCAUUAUUUCCUGAUUUGUGUGAAAAAAACCACUUCAUCCUUUAUUGGUGUGCGCUGAUGGAUUUAACCUGCAUCUAUUCGUUGCUCCUUCUGCCAAAGCAGAUGGGUCCUUCGCAACUCUUCCACGUAAAUAUUUAUUCUUUUUUUUUUUUUUUUUUUUGCUAUUUUACUACUCUUGUUUAAUUUUGUUUGCUAUGUUACUAGUGAUAAGGAACAGAUAUUUGCACAUUUACCUUCUCCUCGUGGCAGCUGAGUAAUAAAGAGAGAAAUUCGACAUAAAACCUCAUAUUUGUGUUAAACUUUAAACUGUGCCAGCAAUUUUUUAUUUUUGAUUUUCAGUGAAGUAAGUAAUAAGACUUUACUAUUAUUGUUUUGCAACCGGAGGGUGAUUGAAUUUUUAUUUUUUUCUGAUCUAAUUUGGAUUUUUUAUUAUUAUUAUUAUUAUUUUUCAGAAUUCCAAUCGGUGUGGCUUAGAUUUUGUUUGGGAUCUAAAAAUCACCUCGAUUAUUCCUCUUUAUUUCUACUUUUGUUCGAUUCUUUUUGCUUCAAUGUUUACAUGAAACUGUGCGCGGUCAUGCUAGCAGCCUUUAAAAGCAGAGUCCAGUCAAGAGAGAGAUCUGGAAAAAGAUGACUCGCGCUCUCUUUUCAGCAACGGGUGCAUAAAUCCAAACACACUUCCUCGGCCCUCGACGACGUGCGGUUGUGAGCGAGAGCCGGGGCGCUUUGUUUUCGUCGGGUUCCUUUGAAAUCAAACACACAUUCACAUCGACACGUCGGGUGUCUCCCGCAGCAGCAGCAUUAACUUGUGUUUUUGAGAUUUUUUUUUUUUUUCGGAGGACGGCGAGAAGAUUCUGAUUUUUGAGUCGCUUCUUUUUAACAGACGGAGCUUAGCGUUGCCUCCGAGCGUCAGAUUAGAUGACGGCGAAAACAACGUUCUGCUGUAGGUGGAAACAAAAAGGCUUACAUGACAAUGUUUUAUAUGAAUGUUUUGACUGUAUGUGGGUUUUUUUUUGUUGUUUUUUUUUUAAUAAAACUGUUGAAUUUCCUAAAGAAGAUCUCGAUCUUUGCUUGACAUUCCAGGAUUUUUCAAGCUGAAAUGUGUGUGUGAACCCAGCUGAAGCUCGAAGGAGCACCGCUGAGGUUGACUCAUCUGUUGCUUCUACAAUUGAAAAUCCACCGGAGUGCUGGAAGAAAAGUAACCAAAAAAAAAACACUGGGUCUGUCAAUUUUUCUGACGCGAACGGAUAAACUUGAAUGUACUCUUUGUAGCAGCGUUAAUGCUCUGAAAGCAGAGGGUGAGUCAGCCGAGGAAUAAACAAGGUUACGCUGUGACGCACUUUGAGCCGCCACGCCUACCAGUAGCAGAGCUGGGAGAUGAUUGGAAUUAGCGUGGAUUCAUACAUGAAGAAAGGUCAGAGUGAGGAUCUGUCUGGAGGAACACGUCACUAGAAAGGCUGACCUUUCGUUCCAAAAGGAGGAGUUUUUAAUGUUACUUACAAAUGCAGCAGAUGUUGAACAUUUGGCAAAUUAUUCUUUUUUUUUUUAAUGAAUUCAGUUGCAGAAAAUGGUGAUUUUUCAGACUUAACAUUGUGACCAGCUCACACUGACUCAUUCCUGGUAUGAUCGUCUUAUUAAAAUAGGGCUUUCAGUGAUGAAUUUGAACAUUUCAUUUUCCAUAAAUACAUGUACAACAAACAACACUGCUUGGGAGCGCCCCAGUUCAUCUGUCUGUAACAUUUCCUGCAUUUCAUCUGAACAUGCUGCAAAGUGCCUGAGAUUCCCUCAAAGCAGGGCUGUUGCAAAUUAAGCUGAUUACCCAAACAACCAACCUCCAAGCUUGAGGAAAUAAAACAGCAGGCCAAACACGCUCCACCGAGAGAGAAGACACCAGACACGGAGCGGUUGUGUUACAUUUAUUAACGCAAUGACAACAAUUUGAGCGUCAAGAUUUCAUAACAGGAACAUCUGAGUGUCUUUACAGCAAGAAGUGUUUCUCAACGACACGUAACGAACCCCAAAGAUAAAUACGACCAUAUCGAAGCUACGAGGAGGAACAACUUACACACGUUAUCAUUAUCGAUAGUGAGCUGGAGGAUCACAAGCAUGUCAAACACAGUCAAUACUCAACAAUACCUAAGUGCAUUUACAUUGUGCUUCAGUGUCAGUGUGGGUACCUGCCUGCUCUAACCUGUGCUUCACUUUGUCUUUUUGUUGUUGUUGUUGUUGUUGUUCACAAACACUAAACACACAAUGAGACGUAGUGCAGGAACCGACGGCUGCACUUACAUUUUUUUUUUUCCUUUUUUUUUUUUUUUUUGCACAGGACAGCAGGCAGAAAACCCCCAAACAGUGUACGUUCAUGACUGCAGCAAUGUCUCACACCCAGCAAAAAUAUCCGUCUGGGGAUGACGAAGAAGAGGAUUUCACUUCGCCAGAGAAUUGGCAUAUUUCCUUCCAAAUGUUCUCAUGAAAACAUGCAUUCAAGACUUUCAUAUCGCAGCAAAUCUCUGCGAUGCUUCCCUAAAGAGGAACGAGACGAAGCACAUUGUCAAAGAAAAUGUGACAAAAAAAAAAAAAAAACGACCGAUAAAACCUGGCAAGUAUCACAAUGUCUCACUGGUUAGAAAGGACAAGAGGAACAAUUGCUGAAUUGGACGUUAUCGACUUGUUUCAUAUGAAAAAAAAAUAUAUAUAUAAGGCAUUAAAAAUAUGUUCUAUCUAAAUUUUACCACACUGCAUCUGAUACUUAUGAGUGGAAUACAUCAAAUCACACUUUUCUUUUUCUUUUUAGAUGUUGGAGCUAUAAACGUGCGUUUUCUCUGUCAAAGUUUGAAUCUUCAUGGUUAAAUCUCACAAAAGGUAAAAGUAUUUCCGUUUUAUACAUCACUUUGCAGUCACUCCUGCUCCUCUUGAAUAAGAUGUAAUUACCUAAUUCUGAUGGAGGUUAACAUAUUGUCGUCAACCACAAUCAACUCAUGUCAAACCCAGAUGAGACGAAGAUGAGCUGACAAGUUUGGGCAACGCACUUUUUUGAAUAAAGUCUCAUCUCUCAUAAAUUGUGUGAAAUAUUUUGGAAGAAACUGAUUUACAUUUUUUAAAAGAAAAUCACUGGUGAAAUUUCUGAAACAGGAUGAAUUAGCAGGAGUUUUCUACCUAGACCACAUAUUUCACACUGGUUAUCUGUACAUACGAAAAGAUAAAUAAAAAGAAUAAAACAUUUUUUUUUAUUGCAGCAGCAUUGAUUACAUUGACUGAUUUGAAAUGAGCAUCGAGCCAUAUAAUGUCUGUAUUUUUUAAAAUAAGGGUCUGUCUUUCAGUUGAACAGCAUUUUCUCCUGUUUUUUAUUGGGACUCUGUCGCAUUUUAUUUGUAGCCCAUUUAAACAACAUGUCAUGGAUUAUUCAUUAAAAGUAGAGAAUAAAUUGU